UGCAGCUUUAAAGAAAAUAUUUAUAAUUCUACAGGCAGUGGAUCCAAUGCAAGCAAUUGCGUCUUCUGAAAACAUGAGCGUGUCAGUCACAUUCUUCAGACUGUUUCGGGUCAUGCGCCUGGUGAAACUUUUGAAUCGCUCUGAAGGGAUUCGGAAUCUUCUGUGGACCUUCAUCAAAUCCCUUCAGGCUCUCCCCUAUGUGGGCCUGCUCAUUCUCAUGCUAUUCUUUAUAUACGCUGUGGUUGGAAUGCAGGUA